ensembl:lncRNA PM20D1-AS1 PM20D1 antisense RNA 1
GCCCAUCGGCCCGGGGUCCGAGGGGCCCGCUGCCCGGGCUCGCUGCGUGGUGCUACCGCCCCCGGGCCCGCUGCGCCGCGUCGGAGCCCCAGCAGACUUUGAGAGGCGUGUGCGACAGUGCGCGUCCUCUCCUGCCUCUGGAUGUUUCCUUGGAGCCUCUGGCCUUCGGGAAGACCGGUGCCAUCCAGAUUCCAACAGUGACUUUUAGCUCUGAGAAGUCCAAUACUACAGCCCUGGCUGAGUUCGGAAAAUACAUUCAUAAAGCCUGAUGGCCUGGUGUUGGGCCUGAUCACCCCAAAAUUUCAGGCACCCAACGUGGGGCUAUGAAGACCAUGGUAAAGAAAUGCUAGAGUAUAUGGAAAUGAAGGACAUAUCAUCAAAGGACACCCGAGGAUGGCUGAAAGAAGCUUGUGCCACUGGGUUAGAGUCUCCCCGACCAAGCUGGUCUCAGCAAGUGGUCUCCAUCAUGGGGGCUCGAAUCCAGGUUGAAGGGUCACCAGAGUGAUGGUUGGAGAACAUGGAACUAGCUGGAGGACACCUGAGUACUCUUAAAGCAAACCCCGUGUUAAUUGAAAAUGCUCAGUUACGAUUUCAUACAGAUGAACAACUGAAGACAAAAACAACAAAGGGGGAGAAAGAGGGAUUAUGGGACAGCCCAUAUACAAUUGAAUCUAGCAUUAUUAACUUUAAAUUUUUUGAGUCUGCCUAAAGGCCAGAUGUUAUCAGCAGCUGAACAGCAUUUACAGAAACCGGCUGCAAAGACAGAAGCAGAACAACUGGUUUGGUGGAGAGAUCCGAUAACAAAAAGUUGGGAAAUAGGUAAAAUAAUAACUUGGGGUAGAGGUUAUGUUUGUGUUUCUCCAGGCCAAAAUCAAUAACCAAUUUGGAUACCAUCAAGACACCUGAAACCUUAUCAUGAGCCAGAUGCUGAGGAAGAGAUUCCAGGAGGAUCCUGAGGACCCCCUGGUUGCAGCCACGUCGAGGCUGACACUGAGGAGGACCCCAACUGUCAUGAGCAACACCCGUCGAACACAGCCAUCCACCUGGGGACAAAUCAAGAAGCUGUCACAGAUGAUGGAAGAAAACCUGAGGAAAGCGGGACAACCAAUCACAAUGAGUAAUUUGGUGAUCUAUCACAGUGAUGAUCACCAUUGCCAUGAGUAUUCCUUCAACAAGGGCUGACACAGAGAACAAUUAUACUUAUUGGGCAUAUUUAUCAAUCUUGUCUGGCAAUAAUGCCUAGAUGAUUUCACUCUAUGGCACAGUUACACAUGCUUUCUGAUCUCAGUAUUUACCAUAAUAAAUCUGCUCCUAUAAUUGAGGCAUACCACCCUCAAAAACCUAUUUGUAAACAAAAUAGAACCUGGCCAGAAAUAAUGAACAACUUGUUUAGUAAGAUUGCAUUGCAGAACAGGCAGAGAUGCUACGCAAUGAUUCCUAUGGGAUCAUUGAUUGGUCCCCUAAGGGGAUGUUUAGCUUAAAUUGCACCUCUCAGUCUGCAUGCCAUGGCCACACUAGUUCAGAUGGUCUGAACAAAGUGGUCAGAUGGCAGAAAUGAUAAGAAGUAUGGCAAAAGUUCCUAUUGUCUGGAACCAUGGCAGUAUAGUGUCACCUCAACCUCAAAUGAUAUGGCUCAUUGUAGGAGCUAAACAUAAGGAUUUGUGGAAACUAUUAAUAGCUCUUAAUAAGAUCAAAAUUUGGGAAAGAAUAAAAAAAGCAUCUAGAAAGACACUCUACAAACUUGUCUUUGGAUAUUACAAAAUUAAAAGAACAAAUAUUUAAAGCAUCCCAGGUACACCUGACCUUAAUGACAGAAACUGGAGUGCUUGAAGGAGCUGCAGACAGAUUAGCAGCUAGUAACCCAUUAAAAUGGAUAAAAACACUUGGAAGCUCUGUGAUUUCAAUGAUGAUUGUGCUUUUAAUCGGUAUUGUUUGUCUUUGUAUAGUGUGCAGAUGUGGAUCCUGACUCCUGUGAGAAGUAGCUCACAGUGUCAAAGCUGCCUUUGCUUUUAUCGAUUUGCAAAUCAAAUAAGGGGGACAUAUUGGGAACAGCACCCCCCCCCCCAAAAUCUGGCCAUAAACUGGUCCCAAAACUGGCCAUAAACAAAAUCUCUGCAGCACUGACAUGUUCAUGAUGGUCUUAAUGCCCACGCUGGAAGGUUGUGGGUUUACCAGAAUGAGAGCAAGGAACACCUGGCCCACCCAGGGUGGAAAACCACUUAAAGGCAUUCUUAAACCACAAACAAUAGCAUGAGUGAUCUGUGCCUUAAGGCUGUGCUACUGCUGCAGAUAACUAGCCCAACCCAUCCCUUUAUUUCAGCCCAUCCCUUCGUUUCCCAUAAGGGAUACUUUUAAUUAAUCUAAUAUGUAUAGAAAGAAUGCUAAUGACUGGCUUGCUGUUAAUAAAUAACGUGGGUAAAUCUCUGUUGGAGGCUCUCAGCUCUGAAGGCUGUGAGACCCCGGAUUUCCCACUUCAC